GUUGAUCGAGAGCGAGCGAGCGAGCGUACGUAGGAGCGAGGCGAGGCGAGGCGAACGAGGCGAGUCGAGGCGGGGCAGGUGACAGACACAUGUUGUGCAUAGGGCUUUGGUUUUUCGUUGUUUUGUUGUCGGAUUGCAAGUGGCCCCGAGAUGUGGUUGUUCAUGGCGCGAAGAUGAGAGAUCGGAUUGAUCGUUUGAAUAUAUAUGGAAAUAAAAAGUAUACAAAAAUUAAAAAAUAAAAACAAAUUAUCAUAAAUCAUUUAGAGGAGGGAAUAAGUACAAUACAAAGAACGUCCGGGCCGUCUUUGAGGGCCGUCUUUGGAAACUAGUAGCGUGACGGAACAAGCAUGCAGAAACGUCCUAGGUAAUUCGUAUUUAGCUAGGAUGUAACGCUAUACAUAUGUACAUAUGUAGGUGGGUGGGUGGAUUGGGUGGCAAACCGAUUAUAUUCAUGAUGUGUUGUACAUAGUAGGUGCAUAGAAAAUUUCUCUCAGGCCUUGGGACCGACCACCGUGUAAUCGCAUUUGCACGGAUAACAUUACUUCACGGACGCUCAAGGCCCAGCAGCGGAAUUUUAAAAGACUGUUCUCGGAUUUUCAGGUGGAAAAGUGGUACGAAUAUAUAGUGGGUGGUGGGUAGUGGGUGUUUUUUAGGUAUGAGGGUUUUUUUGUUUUUGUUGUUUUGUUAUAUUUAUUGCAAAUGGAACUGGGCGUAACUAAACUAA
rnacentral:sRNA from 1 species